rnacentral:rRNA from 1 species
UGGGGAAUCUUGCACAAUGGGGGAAACCCUGAUGCAGCGACGCCGCGUGAGCGAUGAAGCCCUUCGGGGUGUAAAGCUCUUUCGGCAGGGAAGAUGAUGACGGUACCUGCAGAAGCAGCUGCGGCUAACUACGUGCCAGCAGCCGCGGUAAUACGUAGGCAGCGAGCGUUGUUCGGAGUUACUGGGCGUAAAGGGUGUGUAGGCGGUUGUUUAAGUUUGGUGUGAAAUCUCCCGGCUCAACUGGGAGGGUGCGCCGAAUACUGAAUGACUUGGAGUGCGGGAGAGGUGAGUGGAAUUCCUGGUGUAGCGGUGAAAUGCGUAGAUAUCAGGAGGAACACCGGUGGUGUAGACGGCUCACUGGACCGUAACUGACGCUGAGACACGAAAGCGUGGGUAGCAAACA